AUGGUAGGAUAGAGGCCUACCAUGGUUUUAACGGGUAACGAGGAAUUAGGGUUCGAUUCCGGAGAGGGAGCCUGAGAAACGGCUACCACAUCCAAGGAAGGCAGCAGGCGCGCAAAUUACCCAAUCCCGACACGGGGAGGUAGUGACAAUAAAUAACAAUAUGGGGCUCUUACGAGUCUUGUAAUUGGAAUGAGUACAAUUUAAAUCUCUUAACGAGGAACAAUUGGAGGGCAAGUCUGGUGCCAGCAGCCGCGGUAAUUCCAGCUCCAAUAGCGUAUAUNAAAGUUGUUGCAGUUAAAAAGCUCGUAGUUGAAUUUCGGGAUUUAUCCGUCGGUCGGGCUUUUGGGUCUGUACUGGCGUGAUGGAUUCCUACCUUCUGAAUAACCGGCAUGUCAUUAAUUUGGUGCGCCGGGGAAGCAGGACUGUUACCUUGAAAAAAUUAGAGUGCUUAAAGCAGGCUUAUGCCUGAAUACAUUAGCAUGGAAUAAUGAAAUAGGACGGCAUGGUUCUAUUUUGUUGGUUUCUAGGAUCACCGUAAUGAUUAAUAGGGAUAGUUGGGGGCAUUAGUAUUCAAUUGUCAGAGGUGAAAUUCUUGGAUUUAUUGAAGACUAACUUCUGCGAAAGCAUUUGCCAAGGAUGUUUUCAUUAAUCAAGAACGAAAGUUAGGGGAUCGAAGACGAUCAGAUACCGUCGUAGUCUUAACCAUAAACUAUGCCGACUAGGGAUCGGACGAUGUUAAUUUUUUAAUGACUCGUUCGGCGCCUUACGGGAAACCAAAGUGUUUGGG
rnacentral:rRNA from 1 species